UACGUAUGGGGCAAGCGUUAUCCGGAUUUACUGGGUGUAAAGGGAGCGUAGGCGGCGGGGCAAGCCUGAUGUGAAAGCCCGGGGCUCAACCCCGGGACUGCAUUGGGAACUGCCCUGCUGGAGUGCCGGAGGGGCAGGCGGAAUUCCAAGUGUAGCGGUGAAAUGCGUAGAUAUUAGGAGGAACACCAGUGGCGGAGGCGGCCUGCUGGACGGUGACUGACGCUGAGGCUCGAAAGCGUGGGGAGCAAACAGG
rnacentral:rRNA from 1 species